GACGUAGGGGGCGAGCGUUGUCCGGAUUUACUGGGCGUAAAGCGCGUGCAGGCGGUCUGUUAAGUCCCGUGUUAAAGCCUCCGGCUCAACCGGAGAACGCCGCGGGAUACUGGCGGGCUUGAGGAUGGUAGAGGGCGAUGGAAUUCCCGGUGUAGCGGUGAAAUGCGUAGAUAUCGGGAGGAACGCCAGUGGCGAAGGCGGUUGCCUGGGCCAUUCCUGACGCUGAGACGCGAAAGCUGGGGGAGCGAACGGG
rnacentral:rRNA from 1 species